CAACUAUUCAAUGUAAUAAUUGCUGC
rnacentral:piRNA from 1 species